ensembl:lncRNA
AGAAAAGAUAACAAGACAGAAAGGUGGGGAAAAGGGGCGGAGUUAGGAGAGGAGGUGAAGGGGAAAAUAAAAGAGCACAAAAGGAGAGAGAAAAGAGACAGAAAGUGGAGAAGAGAGCAGUGAUAACUGAAGGAGAAGACUGAGAGACAUAAUUAGAGCAAAGUUAAAAGGGGAAAGGAGUAUAAAGGCCCAAACAGCAGUGAUGAACGCGGCUCGGAUUCACGACAAGCAGAAGCUGAUGUCAUUUUGGGAGCAGAAGAUCGUUCAGCAUGGCGAGCAGGUGGACGGGGAGGAGGACCGCAGGAGGAGCAGCGCGCUGCCAAGUCUGAGGGAGCAGUGGUUGGUCCGGUUGGAUCAGAGGAACCAGCACCAGCAGAGUUUCUUCGAGGAGAGAACGAAACGUGCUCGGAAAGCUCAGCAGAACCUCGAGAGGCUGGAUUCCCCCUAAAACAGAUCGAGCUGGAGAACAUUACCACGUCUCCUCCACCAAUCGGCUCGCAGUGGAGGUUCAGCUGCUCAGGAGGCAUUUGUAGUAAUGCAAUUUGGACAAAUACACAUGAAUCAGAUAUUUUGAAGCUCAGUUCAGCUUACAAGAUCUUUGUCACAGAUGGAGAAAAUUAUUUUCAAUGUCUCAAUAAGAUCAGCUUUAAUGUAGAAUUCUAUCAAAAUAUGUUAAUAACAAGUUAUUGUGUGAUAUUGUCAGCGUAAGAAGAAGAAGACAGAACCAUAAUUAUGUAUUCACGUCAGCAUUCUCUCGGUUUCAAACCACACACAUGUGGUGCUGUUCGGUAAUUCUCGAUUCACAGGUGGAUUUUGGGUGGUGCAAAACAACCUGUGUUUGGAUCAUGUUUGGAGGGCAGAUUUUGGGUGCACCGUUGAACACACUUCAAACAGGGCCGUAACAGAAUAAAGCUCAUCUUUAACCGUCUUGAUUAUGUUUUAACAGUCGCAACUGUUUCCCAAAGUCAUCGAGUUGUAUUUCUAGAUGUGAGGUCGGAGCCGGCGACUGCACAUACAAAGCUACUAUCGCUCGACACACUUAGUGUAUAGAAAAAUACAAUAUGAUAUUACGCAUCAUCUACCCUUUACUGGCACGCAGAAACAAUAAAAGAAGACAGCACGAGUAUAGAGCUAAAUAACACAGUAAAUAAAUGAGGAAUAAUUGUGUUAAAUAAAAAAUGGACUAAAGAAAAUAUUAUGUUUGUAUUGUUGGACACUAAAAACAUACAGAGCGGAUGCACAUAACUAUAUAUACACAUACAUAGAUAUACUCUACUAUACGAUAUACUUUACUGUAUAUGGCUGUAUGGCAGGUCAAACUGAUUUAGUCUGACCCUGCCAAACAAGCAUAAAAGACAUCCAUGCAGGAGAUGAGUGUCCACUGGCACUUAGAUUUGACAGGUGACAGUAGACAGUUGUCCAAUGGUCACUGGUUCUGAGUUCCCUUUUAGGUUUAAUAUAAAAAUGCAGAUGUGUGGGAUAAUGAAACCCCCUUUUGCAGCACCUCCUGUGAGCUGAUAUGCAGUUGGUCUUUCUCUCUAUUCUCGCUGUUAAAGAAUCGUAUACAGUAAAUCUGCCGUCUCCGUGUCUGCUCUUGGGUCCAG